CAACUCUCAACAACGGAUAUCUUGGCUCCCGUAUCGACGAAGAACGCAGCGAAAUGCGAUACGUAGUGUGAAUUGCAGAAUUCCGUGAACCAUCGAAUCUUUGAACGCAACUUGCGCCCGAGGUCCUAGACCGAGGGCAUGUCUGCCUCAGCGUCGGCUUU
rnacentral:rRNA from 2 species